rnacentral:rRNA from 1 species
UGCGUAGGCGGGUCUUUAAGUCAGGGGUGAAAUCCUGGAGCUCAACUCCAGAACUGCCUUUGAUACUGAGGAUCUUGAGUUCGGGAGAGGUGAGUGGAACUGUGAGUGUAGAGGUGAAAUUCGUAGAUAUUCGCAAGAACACCAGUGGCGAAGGCGGCUCACUGGCCCGAUACUGACGCUGAGGACAAAGACUGGGGAGCAAACA